rnacentral:rRNA from 1 species
GAUGAACGCUGGCGGCGUGCCUAAUACAUGCAAGUCGAGCGAAGCGGGGACGGUUGAGUAACACGUGGAUAACCUCCUAUAAGACUGGGUUAACUUCGGGAAACCGGAGCUAACCCGGAUCCUUCUAUAUGGAUCCUCGCUGCAUUAGCUAGUUGGUAAGGUAACGGCUUACCAAGGCUACGAUGCAUAGCCGACCUGCGAGGGUGAUCGGCCACACUGGAACUGAGACACGGUCCAGACUCCUACGGGAGGCAGCAGUAGGGAAUCUUCCGCAAUGGGCGAAAGCCUGACGGAGCAACGCCGCGUGAGUGAUGAAGGUCUUCGGGUCGUAAACCUCUGUUAUUAGGGAAGCGGUACCUAAAGAGAAAGCAACGGCUAACUACGUGCCAGCAGCCGCGGUAAUUC